rnacentral:rRNA from 1 species
CGCACGAGAAAGGGGAGCAAUCCCUGAGUACAGUGGCGCACGGGUGAGUAACACGUGAAUAAUCUACCUCCGAGUGGGGAAUAACUGAGAGAAAUCUUAGCUAAUACCGCAUAACACUUACGAGUCAAAGCAGCAAUGCGCUUGGAGAGGAGUUCGCGGCCGAUUAGUUAGUUGGCGGGGUAAUGGCCCACCAAGACGAUGAUCGGUAUCCGGCCUGAGAGGGCGCACGGACACACUGGAACUGAAACACGGUCCAGACUCCUACGGGAGGCAGCAGUGGGGAAUUUUGCGCAAUGGGGGAAACCCUGACGCAGCAACGCCGCGUGGAGGAUGAAGUCCCUUGGGACGUAAACUCCUUUCGAUCGGGACGAUUAUGACGGUACCGGAAGAAGAAGCCCCGGCUAACUUCGUGCCAGCAGCCGCGGUAAUACGAGGGGGGCGAGCGUUGUUCGGAAUUAUUGGGCGUAAAGGGCGCGUAGGCGGCUGGAUAAGUCUUGUGUGAAAUCUUCGGGCUCAACUCGAAGUCUGCACAGGAAACUAUCCGGCUUGAGUGUGGGAGAGGUGAGUGGAAUUCCUGGUGUAGCGGUGAAAUGCGUAGAUAUCAGGAGGAACACCUGUGGCGAAAGCGGCUCACUGGACCACAACUGACGCUG